GCGUCGGUACUCAAGUGGUCAACGAGGAUUGGCUGUAAACCAAUUGGCUUUGCCUUCGUUGGUUCGAAUCCAACCCGGCGCACAA
rnacentral:tRNA from 1 species